UACGGAGGAUCCGAGCGUUAUCCGGAUUUAUUGGGUUUAAAGGGUGGUAGGCGGGAAAAUAAGUCAGUGGUGAAAUCCUACAGCUUAACUGUAGAAUUGCCGUUGAUACUGUUUUUCUUGAGUAUGGUCAAGGAAGGCGGAAUGUGUAAUGUAGCGGUGAAAUGCUUAGAUAUUACACAGAACACCAAUUGCGAAGGCAGCUUUCUGGCCCAUUACUGACGCUGAGGCACGAAAGCGUGGGGAUCGAACAGGAUUAGAUACCCCCGUAGUCCCU
rnacentral:rRNA from 1 species